UUUUUUUAUUCUAAAUUACCAGUCUGUAGUUUCUUUUUGCACACUUUUCUCCUCUGUUACAAUCUGUUUUUUUUUUGGAGUGAUUGCAGUUUGAUUACAUUUGUCUUGGAACAAAUUUUCAGCUUUGCAUAUUCACUAGUAUCAUAAUUCAAGGACGAGCACAAUUGUGUUGCACUCUGACACUUCCUAGGAGGACCCAUAGGGCAUUUCCAAUUAGAAAUGACUUGGCCAUUUCUAUAGGAUUUCAUAUCACCCAGGAACAAUGAUAGUAACAGCCAUUACAAAGGGUUCCUUGAAGAAUUACUGAUUGGUAGGCUUUAUUCAAAAUUUAUUUUGAAAUAGGAUGGGUUCAGUCCUAUAAAUAUGUGAGGUGUGAUUUGUUUAAGUAGUUUCAUAAGUCGAAGGAGCUAAUAGCAUUAAUUGUUUCAUGGAAUCUCUUAGUGUAGUGAAUUUGGUGUUGGCCUAGGUUUCUUUUUGUUUCUAUCCCCAAAAGAGUUCUCUCUAUAGAGAAACAACUUGCUUCUCUCUCCUCUCCAUCUCUCUGCCUAAUAAAAAUAAUGAUGCUGGGCUUAUAGAAACUAGGAUACAAGGUUAGUAUAGCAUAGGGAUUAUCGAUUAGGAAAUAGAACAUCGAUUAGUAGGAACAUAGAAAUGUUUUAUAUGCAUCAAUUAUUACAUAGAUCCUUUUGAAAUGCUGCACUUGGAAUUCUGGGCGCACCUAGAAUAAUGGACCAGCAUAUGGUUUUUUUGGUACAUGGUAUAAUACGUGGUUAAUUGUAAUGGGAGCAUUGCGCUUGUGAACUGCACAAAGCAAUGUCUUGGCAGAGUAUUAGCAUUGGCCUCAGUUUGUUCUUUUAACGUGAGUAGUUUUACCUUUGGCCUUGUUUGUGAAAUCUUGUUUAUGACUUAGAACAUAUAAGUAUCUUAUGCAGGACUGAAGUGUCCAGUGAAGUAUUGGAUGUACUACAAUGCUGUAUUAUCUAGCCAUUUACAUUCUAGGAAACAAAAUAUAGAUCUUAGACACCUAGAGCUUUCCUCUCCUUUAUUCUAAGAGCUUCUGUGGGAUGUGCAGUUAUUUUAUGAUGUCACUUUUCAGAGUAGGUGUUGAUAAGUUAACCAUAUUGCAUCUUUUUACUCCUGUUAGCUGGACAGCACUACUGGUUUCUUGGAUACAUGAGCACCAUUUUUUUUAUAAGGAUGCCAUAGUGCUUUGCAGAUCCUAGCCUUGUUAUGCUUCUUAAAGUAAUGCAAAUUUCAUAACCACUCCGUAUGUUGCUUUUUUCAUAGUAGAGGUUUGACUACCUUGUUCAUACUAUCAAUCCAUUAGACUAAAGGGUACAUCAAUGUAAUAGGAGAGAAAUAAAUAUGGAAGGGUAAGUGGGUAACCCGAUUGUUUAGUCUGAGGGGAGAGAUCAAUAGUACUAUUCAUAAAUGGUUUUCUUCAAUUGGGGCAUGUUUAUAUCCUUUAAUUGAACAGCUAAUAUUUGUGUAUCCUUCGAACAUUGAACUUCUUACUUUGUUGACACAUAAUCUCUUGUGACAAUGAACGUUGCCCAAACCAAUUAUCCAGGUUUCUGCUGGAGAUAAUUUUAAUCUGUUAAGUCCUCUUAACGGAAUGGGGGAAGAGUUCAAAAAAAUGAGGGCGAAACCACAAAGUUGGGAAAGUAGGGGUAAAAAUCACAAUUGGAGUUGAAAACAGGCUCAAUUGUCACUUUACUAGGGGUUUUAUUGCUUUUCUUUAUCCAAACUCUAAAACAUGUCUCAAAUCCACAGCCAGUGGUUACACUAAUAGCUGGUCGUAUUUGUUAGGGAAACACUAGGUCACUAGUUAUCCUUGCGGUGACACAUUUUUGUAUUGUUCAUUCUACUGUUCUAUCAACUCAAGUUUUCACAUGCAUCAUGUCUAUUAGCAGUUAUUCCUUGACUGUGUACCUCCAUGAUGCAGAGGCUGGAGAUAUCUUCUGUUAUCUAAAAAAGUUAUGUUUUCCUAGGGACAGGAAAUGCAUUAUCUUGAUAUUGUGAAAUUUGGAGCUUCUCAGUUCACAUGUUGUUUUUUCCUCCUAGAUGCUUGAGCAUAAUUAUGACAUCAAUAAAUCAUUCCAUAGAAAUUAUUAGUUCUGGUUGCUGAUAUACUUACAAAGAAUAGCUAUUAUCAAUUGAUAUGCUCAGAGAAAAUAAGGGUCCUACUUAACUCAUGACAUGUGAUCAAUAUAGUUGUAGUUUAGUAUAUAUGAAGAGCCAUGAUACAUUCCUGGGAAUACAACGAAUAUUCCCUUAUGUGCCGGUCGAGGUAACUUAGCCUGGUAAAGGUGGUAGGGAUGGAGACGAGUAGCAGAAGGAUGAAAAGGGAGUGAACAGCUAGGGAACUAGCACAAGGUAUGUUGCAAGGUAGGAGGGGAGAGUUUAGUUGUGAGACGAGCAUAUGCAUAGGUUGACAUGGGAAGUCCGAAACAAUAUAUUGAAUGCAACUAGCAGAUAACAAAUAUUUAUUUGUUUUCAACUAAAAAAUCAGCUUCGAGCACACCACAUACUGUUGCUGCUGGUGUGAUGCUUGUCCUUGGGCCUUGUUGAGUUAUUCUAUUUCUAUAGGCUACAAGAAGUUUUUGCAUUGAUCUAUAAAAAAAUGCUGGAUAUGGGAGGAGGGGCUCUCAUAUCGAAAUUUAUUAAGAGCGGUGAGGCUCGAACUUGCGUCGGCUAGCCCACACCUUGUGGUGCUAGCCGGAAGGCCCCCAGGCCUUUCUUGCAUUGAUCUAUCUGUUUAAAGUAAAAAUAGGUGACUGUUUGAAUUUGAGUAAGUUGGAGACAAAUGAAAAAAAAGUGACUGAAACAAAAUACUCUGAUCUCAUGGAGUUAAUCUAUAUGUUGGAAGUAAAUGCAGAUGACUGUUUGAAUUUGAGUAAGUUGGAGACAGAUGAAAAAAAAAGACUGAAAUAAAGCACUAAGAUCUCAUGGGAUUAAUAAGUUGGUUCUGGAAAUUUUCCUUUUUCCCGAGCAAGUUUCGUGACAAUUCAGUUGGUUUCCCAAUUGGCUUAGUUUUUCGUAUUUCAACCCUAAGUUCAUUCGUCCAUCCUUAAUUAUUCCGCAUCUACCGAUCUACUCCCUCCAUCCCAAAAUGUAACAACUUUUGAACGGAUGGGACACAUCCUAGUAAUACGAAUCUAGAUAAGGGCCUGCACAGAUUCUUAGUACUAGGUUGUCUCAUCCAUUCAAAAAUUGCUAUACUUUGGGACAGAGGUAGUACAUAAAU
rnacentral:sRNA from 1 species